CAGCAGCCACGGUAAUACGUAGGUGGCAAGCGUUGUCCGGAAUUAUUGGGCGUAAAGGGCUCGCAGGCGGUUUCUUAAGUCUGAUGUGAAAGCCCCCGGCUCAACCGGGGAGGGUCAUUGGAAACUGGGAAACUUGAGUGCAGAAGAGGAGAGUGGAAUUCCACGUGUAGCGGUGAAAUGCGUAGAGAUGUGGAGGAACACCAGUGGCGAAGGCGACUCUCUGGUCUGUAACUGACGCUGAGGAGCGAAAGCGUGGGGAGCGGACAGGAUUAGAUACCCGUGUAGUCCCUGUCUCUUAUAC
rnacentral:rRNA from 1 species